rnacentral:tRNA from 1 species
GAAGUAUUAGUAAAAAAUUACAUUACCUUGUCAAGGUAAAAUUACUAGUUAGACCCCGGUAUACUUCU